ACAGAUACAGCCUCUUCCUCUUCCGAAAGGUCAUCAGAAAACAUGAAGUUCAAUGCAGCAAAGAAUUACUGUUUGCAACUCUUAAAAAUGUCAUUCUCUUUAUAGAACUGGGUUAAAAAUCUACUUGUUUUUUUAUUUCAAAUUUCACUGCAGAGAGUGGCGUCUUAACCUACAAGACACCCACUCCAAGGUAAUGUCAUCCUAGUGAGGUCUAGCUGGUCUGAAGAGUUGGUCAACUUGUCAGAUCUACCAAACUCUUGGGAGAUUGUAAACUUUUGUGGGCAUAUUGGUUUCUGUUCAUUUUCACAAGAUUGACAGGCUCAUUAUGGUAAUACGGACAUCUCUACCUGAGAGCUCAUACUGUGCAAUUGUAAUUUUGCAUAUGCUAAUGAGAAGACAAUUCUAUCAGAGUGAACAUUUGGGCUGAGGUGCAAGGCACCAUUUAAUUAUAAGAACAGUAUGGGAUUGAGCUCUGUCAUGGAUUCUUCCAUUCCUUCCACCUUGUCUCUUUCCAAAUUCUUCUAUUUCUUCCUAGAUUUCCUUCCUCCUCUGCUUUCUCUCUCCUU
rnacentral:lncRNA from 1 species